rnacentral:rRNA from 1 species
UAUCGUGCUAGGAUGAACGCUGGCGGCGUGCUUAACACAUGCAAGUCGAACGGAGAUUACUUUUGGCUUGCUAUUUGUAAUCUUAGUGGCGGACGGGUGAGUAACGCGUGGGUAACCUGCCUUAUACAGGGGGAUAACAGUCGGAAACGACUGCUAAUACCGCAUAAGCGCACAGUAUCGCAUGAUAGAGUGUGAAAAGAUUUAUCGGUAUAAGAUGGACCCGCGUCUGAUUAGCUGGUUGGUGAGGUAACGGCCCACCAAGGCGACGAUCAGUAGCCGGCCUGAGAGGGUGAACGGCCACAUUGGGACUGAGACACGGCCCAAACUCCUACGGGAGGCAGCAGUGGGGAAUAUUGCACAAUGGGGGAAACCCUGAUGCAAGCGACGCCGCGUGAGUGAAGAAGUAUUUCGGUAUGUAAAGCUCUAUCAGCAGGGAAGAAAAUGACGGUACCUGAUUAAGAAGCCCCGGCUAACUACGUGCCAGCAGCAGC